UAUGGCCAUAUCACAUUUAAACACCAGUUCUUGUGCGAUCACUAAAGUUAAGUAAUGUUGAGCCUGGUCAGCACCAAGAUGGGUGACUACUUGGGAAUACCAGUUGUUGUAAU